AUUGAACGCUGGCGGCAGGCUUAACACAUGCAAGUCGAGCGGAGAGAAGUAGCUUGCUACUGAUCUUAGCGGCGGACGGGUGAGUAAUGCUUAGGAAUCUGCCUAUUAGUGGGGGACAACAUUUCGAAAGGAAUGCUAAUACCGCAUACGUCCUACGGGAGAAAGCAGGGGAUCUUCGGACCUUGCGCUAAUAGAUGAGCCUAAGUCGGAUUAGCUAGUUGGUGGGGUAAAGGCCUACCAGGGCGACGAUCUGUAGCGGGUCUGAGAGGAUGAUCCGCCACACUGGGACUGAGACACGGCCCAGACUCCUACGGGAGGCAGCAGUGGGGAAUAUUGGACAAUGGGCGGAAGCCUGAUCCAGCCAUGCCGCGUGUGUGAAGAAGGCCUUAUGGUUGUAAAGCACUUUAAGCGAGGAGGAGGCUACUUUAGUUAAUACCUAGAGAUAGUGGACGUUACUCGCAGAAUAAGCACCGGCUAACUCUGUGCCAGCAGCCGCCGCAGUAA
rnacentral:rRNA from 1 species